ACCAGAGGCCUAAACACCCUAAAAGUGCCAGAUCACAUCUGACAUUGGAAGCUAAGGAGGAUCAGUCCUAGUUAGUACUUUGAGGGGAAACCAUCAAUGAAUAUUAUGUGCUGCAGGCU
rnacentral:rRNA from 1 species